UUAGUUUCGUUGCAUGUGCCUGUUGACAUAAUUUUUAUGUUAUAAACGGUGUUCGUUUUAUUUUAGCUUCUUUUUGUCCAUAUUAGUUAGGCGUGUUUAUAGCGAUAUACUUUUCGUGGAAUGCCACAAAUUUUCUAAUUGGUGUAAUCGAUAAUCGAAUCGAUAAGCCUCAAAAAUCGAUAAAUCGAAAUCGAAAAAAUCAAAACUUUAUUGAAACGAUAA
rnacentral:lncRNA from 1 species